UUUCUAUGGUUUUUAAGUUUAGUUGAAUUAACUGAGCCCAGGCAAUUCAGGAAAAUAAAAUCUCCUGUUUUCAUGGUGAUGAAAGGAUACAGAUGAUGGGGUCUAGAAACCAGACUUCUGCUCUUGAGUUAAUUAUAUUAAUGAAUGGGGGGACUGAAGAGGAGAAGGCACAUAGACAUGAGAGUGAUCGAUGUUGGGUCAAGCUUUCUCUUUGGAAGAUGGUUGGAAAGAACACAGCAAGGAUAUGGCAUUUGAGCACAU